rnacentral:rRNA from 1 species
GUGGGGAAUAUUGGACAAUGGGGGCAACCCUGAUCCAGCCAUGCCGCGUGAAUGAUGAAGGCCUUCGGGUUGUAAAGUUCUUUUGGAGGGGACGAUGAUGACGGUACCCUCAGAAUAAGCUCCGGCUAACUUCGUGCCAGCAGCCGCGGUAAUACGAAGGGAGCUAGCGUUGUUCGGAAUUACUGGGCGUAAAGGGCGCGUAGGCGGUUUGGUUAGUCAGAUGUGAAAGCCCAGGGCUUAACCCUGGAACUGCGUUUGAUACUGCCAAGCUUGAAUUCGGGAGAGGUGAGUGGAAUUCCCAGUGUAGAGGUGAAAUUCGUAGAUAUCUGGAGGAACAUCAGUGGCGAAGGCGGCCACCUGGACCGGUAUUGACGCUGAGGUGCGAAAGCGUGGGGAGCAAACAGGAUUAGAAACCCUGGUAGUCC